rnacentral:rRNA from 1 species
UACGAAGGGGGCUAGCGUUGUUCGGAAUUACUGGGCGUAAAGGGCGCGUAGGCGGCCAUUCAAGUCGGAGGUGAAAGCCCAGGGCUCAACCCUGGAAUUGCCUUCGAUACUGUUUGGCUAGAGACCGGAAGAGGUAAGUGGAACUGCGAGUGUAGAGGUGAAAUUCGUAGAUAUUCGGAGGAACACCAGUGGCGAAGGCGGCUCACUGGCUCGGUACUGACGCUGAGGUGCGAAAGCGUGGGGAGCAAACAGG